rnacentral:rRNA from 1 species
CACGUAGGGCGCAAGCGUUGUCCGGAAUUAUUGGGCGUAAAGAGCUCGUAGGCGGUCUGUUGCGUCCGCUGUGAAAACUCGGGGCUUAACCCCGAGCCUGCAGUGGAUACGGGCAGACUAGAGGUAGGUAGGGGAGAAUGGAAUUCCCGGUGUAGCGGUGAAAUGCGCAGAUAUCGGGAGGAACACCGGUGGCGAAGGCGGCGACCUGGACGGACAUUGACGCUGAGACGCGAAAGCGUGGGGAGCAAACAGG